GCCAGACUCCUACGGGAGGCAGCAGUGGGGAAUAUUGGGCAAUGGGCGCAAGCCUGACCCAGCAACGCCGCGUGAAGGAGGAAGGCUUUCGGGUUGUAAACUUCUUUUAAGGGGGAAGAGGAGAAGACGGUACCCCUUGAAUAAGCCACGGCUAACUACGUGCCAGCAGCCGCGGUAAUACGUAGGUGGCAAGCGUUGUCCGGAUUUACUGGGUGUAAAGGGCGUGCAGCCGGGAGGACAAGUCAGAUGUGAAAUCCGCAGGCUCAACCUGCGAACUGCAUUUGAAACUGUUUCCCUUGAGUAUCGGAGAGGUCAUCGGAAUUCCUAGUGUAGCGGUGAAAUGCGUAGAUAUUAGGAAGAACACCAGUGGCGAAGGCGGAUGACUGGACGACAACUGACGGUGAGGCGCGAAAGCGUGGGGAGCAAACAGGAUUAGAUACCCCAGUAAC
rnacentral:rRNA from 1 species